ensembl:lncRNA
CGGUUAACGAAUGUGUAUUUAUGAAGACGAUUUGUGAGACUGGUAAACUUAUGAUACGUACGAUGGUCUUUCGUUCUACACGGUGCAUUUCAAGGUCCUGCACCCAUCCGUCGGUAAACUGUACCUGGGCUUGUUGCAGUGACCGGAAGUUACUAAACUUCAUGAGUGUAUGCACUCACUCCAAGAAGCGUAUAAUUAUAAAUAUGCAUAUAAAUAUGCUACGAUGAGAUAGCUGACUUCAUCUAACUAGCAAAUGUUUUCCAGGCUACGUUGGUGAUGCAGUUUUUUUUUAAAUUACAUUUUUUUAAAAAUAUCAUUUAUUUAUGUAUGAUAUUUUUGUCAUGCGAUUUUAAAGCCGGUCCUACAAGCGCAUCCAAGAAUAACAUGCAGCUUAUCUCAGAACUGUCGGUGAAAAUUAUUCUUGGAGCUAGGUUUAAUUGAGCUGCAUUUUAAAGAGGUGCAAUUUCACAAUUUGUGUAUAUUUUCUAAGUUCACUAUUUUGUCAUGUGUUGAGAAAAACACAGAUUUUAAAAUUACAUGGUCUAAUAUUUACAUUUAGCAUAACUGCAACAUUAUUUUUUCGUUGUUUUUUUUUUUAAAGACUCGAAAGGACUUGAAAUUCAAAAUUUCAGACUUGUGACUUUACUUGGACUUUUACACCAGUGACUUGAGACUCGACUCUGACUUGCCUGACAUUACUUGAGACUUGACUUGAGACUUGAGGAUAAAGACUUGAGACUUACUUGAGACUUGCAAAACAAUGACUUGGUCCCACCUCUGUCAAUUUCUCCUGCUGGGAUUUCUUCUCUGUUAUUGACCCAGGGUCCUUCAACUUGAGGUGGAUUUAUUUCUAUCCCCGCUACUGGAACAUCAGCCUGUUCCUCCUCUUCGUUAUCAGCCUCUUGAUCAUUGUCCUAAACUCUGUCCUCCUCCUCAUCAUUUUGUUGCACUUGAUGAAUAACUUGGCCCAGAACACGGAGGUUUUCCUCAGUUAAGAGGCCGCUCAACACACCGUAUUCAAG